GAGGAAAGGACACUUUGCUCGAGAUUAUCCUGAGCUGAAUAAAGUAACUGCCUUUCCUAACUCUCCUUGUGUUUUAGUAUGCUCACAUGCAUUAGUUGCAUACUUACGUCCGGAGUGGAUUGUUGAUACAGAUACGUGGCACCUAAGUGCCGACAAAGAGGGAUUCAUGGAUUGCCACCGGAUGCCUAUGGGGACAUAGCGUGUCAUGCUAGGAAAUGGCAC
rnacentral:lncRNA from 1 species